GCAGGCGGUUUGUUAAGUCAGAUGUGAAAUCCCCGGGCUCAACCUGGGAACUGCAUCUGAUACUGGCAAGCUUGAGUCUCGUAGAGGGGGGUAGAAUUCCAGGUGUAGCGGUGAAAUGCGUAGAGAUCUGGAGGAAUACCGGUGGCGAAGGCGGCCCCCUGGACGAAGACUGACGCUCAGGUGCGAAAGCGUGGGGAGCAAACAGGAUUAGAUACCCUGGUAGUCCACGCCGUAAACGAUGUCGACUUGGAGGUUGUGCCCUUGAGGCGUGGCUUCCGGAGCUAACGCGUUAAGUCGACCGCCUGGGGAGUACGGCCGCAAGGUUAAAACUCAAAUGAAUUGACGGGGGCCCGCACAAGCGGUGGAGCAUGUGGUUUAAUUCGAUGCAACGCGAAGAACCUUACCUGGUCUUGACAUCCAC
rnacentral:rRNA from 1 species